AUUGACUAAGUCCCACAGUAAGCAGUUUAAGUUAAACAGAGGAAAAGGGACACAGUGUCGCUAGAAGACUCGAAAGUACAAAGGGAAAUCAUUCAGUUAGGAUGAUGUAAGUUAUUUUCCUUUUAGCAAAACUGAUAUACUUACCUGGAAAUGGUUGAUACUAUACUAGCAAUAAUUCUACAAUACCAGGCAAGAUCAAACACAAGUUUUAUGGAUAAGUUUGAGCAGACAUACAUUACAAUUCUUGGACUCCAAUAACAUACCAUUUGUACGUAAGAAAGUUCGAAAUUCUACAAAUUUUCCACAAUGUCGGCUGAUUGAUAGUUUUUUGGCUGUUUGGGUAUUUGAGUGUAUAAAGUAAUUGGAGACCUUAAAAUUGUGUUCAGCUAUUAAAAAAUUACUAUGACUUGUGUUCCGAAAAUGGACAAAAACGGUUUACAA